rnacentral:rRNA from 1 species
CCUAGGGGAGGCAGCAGUGGGGAAUAUUGGACAAUGGGGGGAACCCUGAUCCAGCGACGCCGCGUGAGUGAAGAAGUAUUUCGGUAUGUAAAGCUCUAUCAGCAGGGAAGAAAAUGACGGUACCUGACUAAGAAGCCCCGGCUAACUACGUGCCAGCAGCCGCGGUAAUACGUAGGGGGCAAGCGUUAUCCGGAUUUAUUGGGUUUAAAGGGUUCGUAGGCGGAAUGCCAAGUCAGCGGUAAAAGCGCGGGGCUCAACCUCGCUACGCCGUUGAACCUGGCGUUCUUGAGUGGGCGAGAAGUAUGCGGAAUGCGUGGUGGAGCGGUGAAAGGCAUAGAUAUCACGCAGAACUCCGAUUGCGAAGGCAGCAUACCGGCGCCCAACUGACGCUGAAGCACGAAAGCGUGGGUAUCGAACAGGAUUAGAUACCCUUGUAGUC